rnacentral:rRNA from 1 species
AUUGAACGCUGGCGGCAGGCCUAACACAUGCAAGUCGAGCGAGCGGCGGACGGGUGAGUAAUGUAUGGGGACUGCCCGAUAGCGGGGGAUAACUACUGGAAACGGUGGCUAAUACCGCAUACUAUCGGAUAACCCAUAUGGGAUUAGCUAGUUGGUGAGGUAAUGGCUCACCAAGGCGACGAUCCCUAGAUGGUCUGAGAGGAUGAUCAGCGACACUGGGACUGAGACACGGCCCAGACUCCUACGGAGGCAGCAGUGGGGAAUAUUGCACAAUGGGCGCAAGCCUGAUGCAGCCAUGCCGCGUGUAUGAAGAAGGCCUUCGGGUUGUAAAGUUCUUUCGGUAGCGAGGCGUUAACUACAGAAGAAGCACCGGCUAACUCCGUGCCAGCAGCCGCGGUAAUAC